rnacentral:rRNA from 1 species
UACAGAGGGUGCUAGCGUUGUUCGGAAUCAUUGGGCGUAAAGGGCGUGUAGGCGGCCAGGUAGGUCUGCUGUGAAAACUCGAGGCUCAACCUCGAGACGUCGGCGGAAACCAUCUGGCUAGAGUCCGGAAGAGGAGAGUGGAAUUCCUGGUGUAGCGGUGAAAUGCGCAGAUAUCAGGAAGAACACCCGUGGCGAAGGCGGCUCUCUGGGACGGUACUGACGCUGAGACGCGAAAGCGUGGGGAGCGAACAGG